AUGCCUCCACGCCUCUCCAUCUCCUCAUGAAGAUCUCUCUCCAGAUAGAGACCAUUUCCUCCCUAGAGGAAUCCUUGUACUAUCCGUAGGUGAGAACACUUCACCUCAUUACCUGGAUGUGGAGUGUUGAAGCUGGAAGGGAUCCCAGAGAUCUGGAAACUCCCCAGGAGUUUGGAUGCUUCAUCUCUGCUGAGACCCAGUGCCUGGCACUGAAGGUGCUCAGGAAAUACCUUCUGAAUGAUCGGAAGCCCCUGCCAUCUGCUAAACUGGAUCUAUGAUGACAGAAGCCGAGGAAUGUGAGGUUCAUCUAGAGAGUUCUUGUGAAUUUUCCAAGGGAGGCACCUGUUGAAUUCAGGCAUCGGCAUGUGACUUGAUUUGGUCAAUGAAAUGUGAGAGAAGUGACAUCCACUUUGAGGCAGGCACUUUCCGAAUGCCAUCAAGCUGAGAUGUGAAGCGGAAGUGAGGCAGAGGCUCCCUUCCUUUUGUUUGGCGCAGUUUUCUGUGAGAGAGCAGAGGUGGGAGAUGAGGGGACCUCUGCCCCAGUGUUUCUGCAUCCAAGCUCCAGCCUUGUUGAAGUAAGUGGUCAUUGAAUGCUGCUGUCCAGAAGGGGAUUCUCUCUCCUCGGCUGCUUCCUGAGUAAUAAUCAAGGCCAAGAUGGAGUCUCUGCAAUUCCAAAUACAUCCUGCUCUACCUGGAUCACUGCCUUGAGCUGGGUGGAAAGAGUUGACUGUUUCUGUAAUAGCAUACCUUGAGAUCUACUCAGAAAUGGCAGACUGGGAGAGAUGGCACUCCCACUUAUUCCACGUGCUCUCCUACACUUCCCAGCCUCCUAGGUGAGGGCUGUGUGGCUUGUUCUGACCAACGCAGGCACACCUUGGGGAUAUGCAGGUUCCAUUCCAGACCACCCCCAACAAAAUGAUGAAAUGGAGACUCCUGGAGACAAAGCAGAAAGGAUGCUUGGGGCGGAUUGCCUAGGAUUAUAUUCCAUCUCCAGCACUUACCAGCUGUGUGAUCUUGGGCAAGUGGUUUACCUUCUCUGUGCUUCAAGUUGCUGGAGAAAGGUGGGGAGAAAAAUAAGAGCUGGAAAACACAUGGCCCUAAACAGAGCCAACAGGCUGAUUGCAGGCCCACCCUCAGAGGCUGGGCCCAGGGCACCUCUCAGCAGGCAAGCAGAUCCCCUGGGGGAAACUCAGAGCGGCAGAACUCCUUCACCCAAACUCACCAUUCAGUUGAGAUGGGGUUUCUCCAGGUUGGUCAGGCUGGUCUCAAACUCCCGACCUCAGGUGAUCAGCCCGCCUCGGCCUCCCAAAGUGCUGGGAUUACAGGCGUGAGCCACUGCGUGCCCGGCAGCAGAUGAACUUUCAAUCGGAGCAAUGCGAAAUGCAGAAAUGAUAAUGCCUCACAAGCUGGUUGUACAGAUUGAAUAACAAUGUGAACAGAGCACCGAGUAUAAUCCCUG
ensembl:lncRNA DRAIC downregulated RNA in cancer, inhibitor of cell invasion and migration